UUUCCGUAGGUGAACUUGCGGAAGGAUCAUUAAAAAAUGUGGUACCAAUUAUUGGUACUAAUUAAUCAUCCUACCCUUUGUGAAUUUGUUUGUAACGAAUUUUUUUAAAUGGGUCUUUCCCUAAGUUGGAUUGUAGUAAAAUACAAAAAAGACUUAGGGGAAUGACUUUUUUAAAAGACUUUUUUUUUAAAUUAAAACUUUUUGUAUUCAUUUGUCUAAAAUUUAUUUUUAUAAUAUAAAAACAACUUUUGACAAUGGAUCUCUUGGUUCUCGCAACGAUGAAGAACGCAGCAAAAUGCGAUAAGUAGUGUGAAUUGCAGAAUACGUGAAUCAUCGAAUCUUCGAACGCAUAUUGCACUUUUUUAGUUUACUAAAAAAGUAUGUCUGUUUGAGUAUCAGUAAAAUAUUCUCACAAACAUGUAUUGUUUGUGGUAAUGAGUGUUUUACAACGAUAAACAAGUUGUUUCACUUUAAAUUCUUUUUAAUUGAUUUUACCAAUUCAUAAAUUAAAAUUGGAUAAAAUUUUCCUUUAACGAGGAAUAACCUAAACAAUUUUAAAUUUUUAUGGAUUAUAAGAAUCCAUCAAAGGAAUCUAUAUACAUAAAUAACUUGAUCUCAAAUCAGAUAAGAGUACCCGCUGAACUUAAGCAUAUCAAUAAGCGGAGGAAAAGAAACUAACAAGGGUUCCCUUAGUAACGGCGAGUGAAGCGGGAAGAGCUCAAAUUUGAAAUCUUCAAGGUUUGACCUUGACGAAUUGUAGUUUAUAGAAGUGUUUUCUGUUGGAGUCUUGGUAAAAGUUCUUGGAAUAGGACAUCAUAGAGGGUGAGAAUCCCGUAUUUGACCAUGACUUUCCAGCUGUGUGAUACACUUUCAAAGAGUCGGAUUGUUUGGGAAUGCAGUCCAAAAUGGGUGGUAAAUUUCAUCUAAAGCUAAACAUUGGCGAGAGACCGAUAGCGAACAAGUACCGUGAGGGAAAGAUGAAAAGAACUUUGAAAAGAGAGUUAAACAGUACGUGAAAUUGUCAAAAGGGAAGCGUUUGACACCAGUGUUGUUUUCUCGAAAAUCAAUUUAAUGAGUUCUUGUUUUUAAGUUAUUGUGACUUUAUCAGCGCAUUUCUUAUUUUACUUGACUCAUUGAAUGCACUUUUCGUUUAACAAGUCAACAUCAAUUUCUUUGGUGGUAAAAAGUUUAAAGGAAGGUGGCUUGGACUUCGGUUCAAGUGUUUAUAGCCUUUUUUCUAUGCCAUCGGAGAGAUUGAGGUCUGCAGCGUAGAUCCUUCGGGGUUAGAUACCUUUGUGCUAAGUUAUAGUUUUUUAUAGGCAACUUGUUGACUAUAAUUAACCCUGUAAUUUACUCGCUUAGGCUAUUU
rnacentral:misc_RNA from 1 species